rnacentral:rRNA from 1 species
CCUUACCAGCCCUUGACAUGCCCGGCUACUUGCAGAGAUGCAAGGUUCCCUUCGGGGACCGGGACACAGGUGCUGCAUGGCUGUCGUCAGCUCGUGUCGUGCGAUGUUGGGUUAAGUCCCGCAACGAGCGCAACCCUCGCCCUUAGUUGCCAGCAUUUAGUUGGGCACUCUAAGGGGACUGCCGGUGAUAAGCCGAGAGGAAGGUGGGGAUGACGUCAAGUCCUCAUGGCCCUUACGGGCUGGGCUACACACGUGCUACAAUGGUGGUGACAGUGGGCAGGGAGCACGCGAGUGUGAGCUAAUCUCCAAAAGCCAUCUCAGUUCGGAUUGCACUCUGCAACUCGAGUGCAUGAAGUUGGAAUCGCUAGUAAUCGCGGAUCAGCAUGCCGCGGUGAAUACGUUCCCGGGCCUUGUACACACCGCCCGUCACACCAUGGGAGUUGGUUUUACCCGAAGGUAGUGCGCUAACCGCACGGAGGCAGCUAACCACGGUAGGGUCAGCGACUGGGGUGAAGUCGUAACAAGGUAGCCGUAGGGGAACCUGCGGCUGGAUCACCUCCUUUCUAAGGAAGC